rnacentral:tRNA from 1 species
GCCUCGUUAGCGCAGUAGCAGCGCGUCAGUCUCAUAAUCUGACGGUCGUGAGUUCGAUCCUCACAUGAGGCA